rnacentral:tRNA from 1 species
GGUGGCUCAGUGGUAGAGUGCUUGCCUCACAGGCAUGAGGCCCUGGGUUCAACUACUCAGCACCA